rnacentral:rRNA from 1 species
AUUGAACGCUGGCGGCAGGCCUAACACAUGCAAGUCGAACGGUAACAGGAAGCAGCUUGCUGCUUUGCUGACGAGUGGCGGACGGGUGAGUAAUGUCUGGGAAACUGCCUGAUGGAGGGGGAUAACUACUGGAAACGGUGGCUAAUACCGCAUAACGUCGCAAGACCAAAGAGGGGGACCUUCGGGCCUCUUGCCAUCAGAUGUGCCCAGAUGGGAUUAGCUAGUUGGUGAGGUAACGGCUCACCAAGGCGACGAUCCCUAGCUGGUCUGAGAGGAUGACCAGCCACACUGGAACUGAGACACGGUCCAGACUCCUACGGGAGGCAGCAGUGGGGAAUAUUGCACAAUGGGCGCAAGCCUGAUGCAGCCAUGCCGCGUGUAUGAAGAAGGCCUUCGGGUUGUAAAGUACUUUCAGCGGGGAGGAAGGGUGUUGUGGUUAAUAACCGCAGCAAUUGACGUUACCCGCAGAAGAAGCACCGGCUAACUCCGUGCCAGCAGCCGCGGUAAUACGGAGGGUGCAAGCGUUAAUCGGAAUUACUGGGCGUAAAGCGCACGCAGGCGGUCUGUCAAGUCGGAUGUGAAAUCCCCGGGCUCAACCUGGGAACUGCAUUCGAAACUGGCAGGCUUGAGUCUUGUAGAGGGGGGUAGAAUUCCAGGUGUAGCGGUGAAAUGCGUAGAGAUCUGGAGGAAUACCGGUGGCGAAGGCGGCCCCCUGGACAAAGACUGACGCUCAGGUGCGAAAGCGUGGGGAGCAAACAGGAUUAGAUACCCUGGUAGUCCACGCCGUAAACGAUGUCUACUUGGAGGUUGUGCCCUUGAGGCGUGGCUUCCGGAGCUAACGCGUUAAGUAGACCGCCUGGGGAGUACGGCCGCAAGGUUAAAACUCAAAUGAAUUGACGGGGGCCCGCACAAGCGGUGGAGCAUGUGGUUUAAUUCGAUGCAACGCGAAGAACCUUACCUGGUCUUGACAUCCACAGAACUUUCCAGAGAUGGAUUGGUGCCUUCGGGAACUGUGAGACAGGUGCUGCAUGGCUGUCGUCAGCUCGUGUUGUGAAAUGUUGGGUUAAGUCCCGCAACGAGCGCAACCCUUAUCCUUUGUUGCCAGCGGUCCGGCCGGGAACUCAAAGGAGACUGCCAGUGAUAAACUGGAGGAAGGUGGGGAUGACGUCAAGUCAUCAUGGCCCUUACGACCAGGGCUACACACGUGCUACAAUGGCGCAUACAAAGAGAAGCGACCUCGCGAGAGCAAGCGGACCUCAUAAAGUGCGUCGUAGUCCGGAUUGGAGUCUGCAACUCGACUCCAUGAAGUCGGAAUCGCUAGUAAUCGUGGAUCAGAAUGCCACGGUGAAUACGUUCCCGGGCCUUGUGCACACCGCCCGUCACACCAUGGGAGUGGGUUGCAAAAGAAGUAGGUAGCUUAACCUUCGGGAGGGCGCUUACCACUUUGUGAUUCAUGACUGGGGUG